rnacentral:rRNA from 4 species
AGUAACAAGGUAGCUGUAGGUGAACCUGCGGAAGGAUCAUUAU